rnacentral:misc_RNA from 1 species
GAUGAAGAACGCAGCGAAAUGCGAUACGUAAUGUGAAUUGCAGAUUUUAGUGAAUCAUCGAAUCUUUGAACGCACAUUGCGCCCGCCAGUAUUCUGGCGGGCAUGCCUGUUCGAGCGUCAUUUCAACCAUCAAGCCUUCGCUUGUGUUGGGGCCCCGCGGCUGCCGCGGCCCCCUAAAUCCAGUGGCGGGCUCGUCGUCGUACCGAGCGCAGUAGACAUCCUCGCUCCGGGAACCCGACGGGUGCCGGCCGUGAAACCCCCCCCAUCAAGGUUGACCUCGGAUCAGGUAGGAAUACCCGCUGAACUUAAGCAUAUCAAUAAGCGGAGGA